CUCCACUGGCCACUCCUCAUAUGACUGUUAGAGGUGCUUCCAGGGGCAGUGAUGCACAGUGUGCAGCACUGCCAUUCAGUGUCUUCACCCUCUGCAUGGAGUCACAGAAGUUUCCUCAAAGAGAUACAUUGAUUAAAUGCAACUCUAUGAGGAGAUGCUGAUUGGCCAGGGCUGUGUUUGGCUCUGCCCCGAUCAGCCUCCUUGGCAGUCUCAGUCAACCUAAUGCUUUCCUAUGGGAAAGCAUUGUGAUUGGCUCUGAUAACACUUCCAGUCCAGCAGACUGGAAUUAAGGUAAGAUCUUACUAUAUUUGGGAGACAAGGGGGGCUAGGUGGUGUUAUUAACACUAUAGGAAUAAAUGUUUGUAUAGGAAUAAAUGUUUGUGUUCCUGACCCUAUAGUGUUCCUUUAUUAAAUAAAUUCUUCUGGUUUUCAGAUGGAGAACGGAAAUUGAUUACUUCCCUAUUAACUCCUUUUGGAAAUAAAUAACCUUACCAAUUUUUUGCUGUCUCAUAGAUUUUUAGCCCACUAUCUUGCAACAACAAUUAUUUAGUAAUCAAAUAAUUUUGACAAAGC